rnacentral:sRNA from 1 species
GCUGCCUGUGCUUUGUGCUGUGUUUCGGUUUUUAGACUUUGGAAUAUUUCCGUGUAGUGUUGUCCUCCCUAGUUCGGAUGUCAUUGCUAAGUGACCUGUGACUAUUGGAUAUCAUAUUUUUUUUUGUGAAGUACAAAAAUUGGACUGCAAAACAAUUCCUGGAUAACUUGUGAUGAGAAUGUAAAAAGAACAUUGGAUUAGAUGGAUCUUGUUCGGUCUAUUGUUCGGAUACUUAAAGGACGGGUCAUCUGAUGUGUGUAGCCCUGAGCACAAGGCCGGCAUUAUUUUUACACCAAUCUGUCGGCCAGUUAAAUCAUGAAAUGUUAAUGAAGUGGAGAAAAAUGUUUAAAUGGAUGUUUAAAUAGACUUCAACUAUUGGGUCUAUUCCCAGGCGCAUUCUUUGUGGAUAUAGCUCCAGAAUUAUUUUGUUUUCAAACCUAGAUAAACCUAGACAGUACGUUUCAUAGCAGAAGGUCUCUUCGUGAAGAUGUUUGGCUAGCGGUAGCCACGGAUUUAUCGCUGGAAAAACAAAAGGGACUUACUUUUGGACCUGAUCUACCUCGGGAUUGUGUGUCCUUCUGCUGGCGAGGAGAGGUUCUGGACGUCACUUGAAGUUUCUCGUCUGGCCUUCACGCCUGAUGUUGACAGUAGCGACCAUGUUCAAGUCAAUCCGGUAGGGCGCCCCCCAACACC